UACGUAGGGGGCGAGCGUUGUCCGGAUUCAUUGGGCGUAAAGAGCUCGUAGGCGGUUUGGUAAGUCGGGUGUGAAAACCCCAGGCUCAACCUGGGGACGCCACCUGAUACUGCUAUGACUUGAGUCUGGUAGGGGAUCACGGAAUUCCUGGUGUAGCGGUGAAAUGCGCAGAUAUCAGGAGGAACACCGGUGGCGAAGGCGGUGAUCUGGGCCAGUACUGACGCUGAGACGCGAAAGCGUGGGGAGCGAACAGG
rnacentral:rRNA from 1 species